AUCGCUUCUCUGCCUUUUGGCUAAGAGCAAGUGUAGUAUCUGUUCCUAUCAGUUUAAUAUCUGAUACGCCCCCUACCCGGGGGCCAUAUAUGAAAUUGAUUUUUGGAAAAGGGAGUCGGAAUAGGGGCUUGCUCCGUCCACUCCACGCAUCGACCUGGUAUUGCAGUACCUCCAGGAAAAAAUAAAAAAUAA